GACGAACGCUGGCGGCGUGCCUAACACAUGCAAGUCGAACGCACAGUUUAUACCGUAGCUUGCUACAUCAUAGACUGUGAGUUGCGAACGGGUGAGUAACGCGUAGGUAACCUGCCUGGCAGCGGGGGAUAACUAUUGGAAACGAUAGCUAAUACCGCAUAAUAUUAAUUAUUGCAUGAUAAUUAAUUGAAAGGUGCAAUUUCACCACUACCAGAUGGACCUGCGUUGUAUUAGCUAGUAGGUGAGGUAACGGCUAACCUAGGCGACGAUACAUAGCCGACCACAAAGGGAGAUAGGACAAACUGGGCCUGGGGCACGACCCAGACUACUACGAGAGGCAGAAGGAGGGAACCCUCGGGAGUGGCAGAAAGUGUGACCAAGCGACGCCGCGUGAGUGAAUAAGGCUGUCGGAUCGUGAAGGUCAGUUGUAAGAGAAGAACGGAUGUGAGAGUGGGAAGUUCACAAUGUGACGGUAGCUUACCAGGAAGGGACGGCUAACUACGUG
rnacentral:rRNA from 1 species